rnacentral:rRNA from 1 species
AGUUGUUGCAGUUAAAAAGCUCGUAGUUGAACUUCAGGCCUGGCCGGGCGGUCUGCCUCACGGUAUGCACUGUCUGGCUGGGUCUUACCUCUUGGUGAGCCAGCAUGCCCUUCACUGGGUGUGUUGGGGAACCAGGACUUUACCUUGAGAAAAUUAGAGUGUUCAAAGCAGGCCUAUGCCCGAAUACAUUAGCAUGGAAUAAUAAAAUAGGACGUGCGGUUCUAUUUUGUUGGUUUCUAGAGUCGCCGUAAUGAUUAAUAGGGAUAGUUGGGGGCAUUAGUAUUCAGUUGCUAGAGGUGAACUUCUUGGAUUUACUGAAGACUGACUACUGCGAC